rnacentral:rRNA from 1 species
GAUGAACGCUGGCGGCGUGCCUAAUACAUGCAAGUCGAGCGAACGGACGAGAAGCUUGCUUCUCUGAUGUUAGCGGCGGACGGGUGAGUAACACGUGGAUAACCUACCUAUAAGACUGGGAUAACUUCGGGAAACCGUAGCUAAUACCGGAUAAUAUUUUGAACCGCAUGGUUCAAAAGUGAAAGACGGUCUUGCUGUCACUUAUAGAUGGAUCCGCGCUGCAUUAGCUAGUUGGUAAGGUAAGGGCUUACCAAGGCAACGAUGCAUAGCCGACCUGAGAGGGUGAUCGGCCACACUGGAACUGAGACACGGUCCAGACUCCUACGGGAGGCAGCAGUAGGAAAUCUUCCGCAAUGGGCGAAAGCCUGACGGAGCAACGCCGCGUGAGUGAUGAAGGUCUUCGGUUCGUAAAACUCUGUAUUAGGGAAGAACAUAUGUGUAAGUAACUGUGCACAUCUUGACGGUACCUAAUCAGAAAGCCACGGCUAACUACGUG